rfam:Clostridium sp. MSTE9 ctg120006482987, whole genome shotgun sequence.
UGUAAAGCUGUUCUUUAUCCAAAGACAGCAGGUGCGUAUGCUUAAUGGAACCGUUCUUUCGGUUUCGGCCUGCCGAGGAAAGAGCCGUUCACUUUAUUUGUCUAGUGAUUAGUCAAGUGACGCCUUUCCUGCGCCUGCAGGAAAGGCUUUUUUAUUGGAAUA